rnacentral:rRNA from 1 species
AAGAAAGUUGUGGCUUAUACCUCUCACCAGUUGAAGCCCAACGAAAAGAACUACCCCACACAUGACCUCGAGUUGGCGAUAGUUGUCCAUGCAUUAUUAACGUGGAGAGAUCUCUUGUUGGGAAGGAAAGUGGACAUCUUCACAGAUCAUAAGAGCCUCAAGUACAUCUUCACUCAACCCAACCUCAACCUCAGGCAGACUCGUUGGGUCGAAAUGAUUCAAGAAUACAAUCCGAGUAUUGAGUAUACUCCAGGCAAGGCCAAUGUCAUUGUAGAUGCUUUGAACAGGAAGGCUUACUACAACAACUUAAUUCUCAAGCCCUUCCAACCGGACCUUUGUGAAGCUUUCCGCAAACUGAAUCUCCAAGUUGUUCCUCAAGGCUUUCUUGCCAACCUCCAAGUCUCUCCUACUUUGGAAGAUCAAAUUCAUGAGGCACAACUUCUUGAUGCCAUGGUGAAGAAGGUGAAAAUUGGGAUUGCCAAG